GCCGCGGUGAAUACGUUCCCGGGCCUUGUACACACCGCCCGUCACACCACGAGAGUUUGUAACACCCGAAGUCGGUGAGGUAACCUUUUAGGAGCCAGCCGCCUAAGGUGGGAUAGAUGAUUGGGGUGAAGUCGUAACAAGGUAGCCGUAUCGGAAGGUGCGGCUGGAUCACCUCCUUU
rnacentral:rRNA from 1 species